rnacentral:lncRNA from 1 species
UAAAAGUUUGAAAAACAAAUUGUUGUCAGGAAGCAAGCUGUGUGGGAUUCAUGCAGAAGAGUCCAAAAAAAUCCAAGCACAGCUGAAAGAGCUCCGUUACGGGAAGAAAGACUUGUUAUUUAAGGCCCAACAGCUCACUGAACUGGAACAAAAGUUAGCUGUAGCCAAAAAUGAACUUGAGAAAGCAGCUCUUGACAGGGAAUCACAGAUGAAAGCAAUGAAAGAGACCGUACAACUCUGCUUGUCAUCAGUUUUCCGUGAUCAGCCUCCUCCUUUGAGUCUCUUCCCAUCAAAUCCAACCCAGAUGUUACAUCCACCCAGGACAAUUGCUUCCAGGAUUCCAGAAACAAGGACAAAAAGCAAGCCACAACAAAGUUCUCCAGGACACCAUGACAGCUCUCAAGUUCAGGCAACAAAAGAAGAGAGUAGGAGGACCACUGUGUGUGGCACUCAAGAUGGAGGGUAGUUCCUGUUUGGCGAAGCAUGAGGAGGGUCCCAAAAGUAACAACACUGCAGAAUCAGAGCUCACAACACAGAAAUUACAAAUGCCUCUUUGUUCUGAGUGUGAAGAGAAAAAAGUUCCGGAAAAAACAUCAGCCAGUUUCGAUGGGACUCCAGCUAGAGAAGAAAAGCUACUGUAAUCAGGAGGCAUGGGAUUCAAAGCUUUCCCGCCAUCAAUAUGUUUUAGAGUACAGGCUUGAUGGGAAUACCACGUUUCUAAAGCAUGCAACUUUUACAAAACUUUAUGUAACUUUAUAAUGGGGACUACAAAAUUUCCAAAAGAUUCCAGGCUGAUCGUGAAGCUUAGCAAUAAUCUGAUGAAAAGGAUUUCUUCACUUACACGUAUCUAACUGUCUUCUCUAAAAUCACCCAGUAUAAAUUGAUCUGUUUUCAACU